rnacentral:rRNA from 1 species
AUUGAACGCUGGCGGCAGGCCUAACACAUGCAAGUCGAACGAGUGGCGGACGGGUGAGUAAUGUCUGGGAAACUGCCCGAUGGAGGGGGAUAACUACUGGAAACGGUAGCUAAUACCGCAUACCAUCGGAUGUGCCCAGAUGGGAUUAGCUAGUAGGUGGGGUAACGGCUCACCUAGGCGACGAUCCCUAGCUGGUCUGAGAGGAUGACCAGCAAAACUGGACUUGAGACACGGUCCAUAUCCCUAGGGGAGGCAGCGGGGGGGAAUAUUGAACAAGGGGCGAAAGCCGGUGGCGCCCAGCCCGGUGGUAUGAAGAAGGCUUUGGGGUGGAAAGUACUUUCAGCGAGGAGGCGUUACUCGCAGAAGAAGCAUCGGCUAACUCCGUGCCAGCAGCCGCGGUAAGUC